AUACGGAGGAUGCGAGCGUUAUCCGGAUUUAUUGGGUUUAAAGGGUGCGUAGGCUGUGCGUUAAGUCAGGGGUGACAUGCCGUCGCUCAACGACGGAGCUGCCCUUGAUACUGGCGUGCUGGAGUACGGAUGCCGUUGGAGGAAUGAGUGGUGUAGCGGUGAAAUGCUUAGAUAUCACUCAGAACACCGAUUGCGAAGGCAUCUGACGAAUCCGUCACUGACGCUGAGGCACGAAAGCGUGGGGAUAGAACAGGAUUAGAUACCCGGGUAUUCCACGCCGUAAACGAUGAUGACUAACCGUCGGCGAUAGACAGCCGGUGGCCAAGCGAAAGCGAUAAGUCAUCCACCUGGGGAGUACGUCGGCAACGAUGAAACUCAAAGGAAUUGACGGGG
rnacentral:rRNA from 1 species